rnacentral:sRNA from 1 species
CACUGUUUAUUUCUGAGUCAAUGGAAAACUUGUUUGUUUCAGGUCUGUGAGAGGAUACUGAAAGAACACCACGUCACACAAUGGGAUGGGGGAGAUAAUCCUUACUAUGAAGAAAAGCUCAAGGAGUCACAGUCUCAGGAAUCUUUAUUGUCCAGCACGGAUACACAUAGUAAAGACGACGACGAGCCGCCCAGUAAGCAGAGAAAGGUUGACGAGGUCUGGUCCAACAUUACUUAUCAGAACUCAGCAGGGGAGAAUCCCACUUCGGAAAAUGUGCCGACUCUGGGCAAAGAAUGCUCUUCCGAGAAACUGGACGACGAGGACGUGAACAUUUCUAGCCAUCCAUGUUUUGACUUGUCUAAACUGUCGGUAGAUCCAUCGUGUGAGUUGUGUAAGAAAAAAACAAUAGAGCCCAAAGAAAAACAUCUCAUCAUGUUCCUGCAUGCACUUAAGUAUAAAGGUCUCGAUUGGGCCUUUGAAACAUCUUUACCAAACUGGGCUGAGGAAGACUGGUCCAAAGAAGAUGAUUACUCUAUAGAUACCUUUCAACAAUCAUAGACAUGACUUGUUUAAAUCAUUGACAAAUAGACUGAAAAGGCAAUUAAAAUUGCUUUAUUUUAAUCAUUUAUUGAUUUCAUUUUUCUAUCACUAAAUAAUUUUAAACAAAACUUAGUCACAGAAAAGAAAAAGCAACAAGAAGAUAAUAUAAUAUGAUAGAAGAUCUGGCCAAAAUUGAACUGAAGAUAAUCAGUGAUUGUUUUUCAAAUUUGUAUAGAAACAAACCAG